CAGAGUUACGAGACGUGCUCAGAGAAACUCUGAACACUCGUGACAAAUGACAGUAUCCGCGAUCGGAGCUGUUGACCUAAUCCUUUCUAGAUUUGA